GUCACUGAGAUUAGUUAAAUUCAAUAUACAGUUGCAAACUCCAUAUAUUCAUUUCAGGCUCAAAGGAAAGAAAACCUGACAAUGGCAAGCACAUGUACCCUGUUGGUUCCUGCAGGAACAGUUAAAUGCUUGCAUCUUCUCUCUUACCUCAAGGCAGCUGAAGUGAUUUUGCAGCAGGACUUGAGUGAUUGCAGUUUUCUUUCUCCCACCAGCUGCAUUAAUGAAGAAAGUCCAGUUGCCAAAUCAGAACAACUAUUUGAUCCUACAAUGGAGGAAACACUAACAAAAACGACAACCUUAUGCUACUGUCAGAAUGCGUAUUUGAUAACAUUUGUGACCUUGUAUUUGCUUUUCUUUCUGUGUUUAUUUUAUCUUUAUUCCUAUAACCAUCUGUGAUCUUUACAUAGAAUAUAAAUCAAAUAGGGAGUAUUUGUGCAGUAAAGAACACAACAAGGACACUAAAAUUACAGCAGCUGUCAGAUGCUCCUUCGGUUCAAAAAAUAACAAUAUGAGUAAAUUCUGUUUAUAUGGGUCUUUGGAUGCUUUACAGUUUUUACUGCAAAGGAGACUUUAUUGUGUUACCCCAAUCUGUGUUGAACUCAACAGCCAACAAGACAAAAGAAAAAUAAGAUGACAAAAUUAUUCAUUAUUACAUGUUGACAUCCACUAAAUCUAUCAAAUUUCUUUAUUCUGGUAAAGCUAAAGAAGUUUUUCUAUUUCAGAAAGUCUUUGGCAAAGAAAAUUUACAUAGCUGCAACUAGUAUUUGAAACAUAUGAACCCACCAUCGUCCAAAUCCUUCACUUCACUCCUAUUCAUCUUUCCCUUCUCCCUUCCACCUUCCCUUCUCAUUUGAGAUAUUUUCACACAGCUUUUCUAAGAAAGGAUGAAGCAGUAUAGAUCAUAUGUUUACCUCUUAAAGGAGGCAGGAGUUUCUGUAAUUAUGGAACGAUAAAUAUAUCUAAUUCAGUCUGUAUGCUAAAAGCAAAUCCUGUUACUUCAGAAAUAUGUAUCUCUUCUUUGAACUGCUUCCCCUUCAACACCUGUAGCGGACAAAAGAAAGACUGUGGCGAGCAGAAAGGGGAAUUCUUACUCCAGAAGCAAAAGUAAUCAGUAUUUAGGAGUUGUGAAGUCUCACCGAAGAAACAUUUCUUUCUUCUCCAAGAUUGGGAAAGCUGCCCAAUAUAACGAGCAUUUAUAUUGCCUGGAAAUUACAUUAGUACAUUUGGGAGAAGUUUCCUUGAAAUAUGGAUAGUUUCAGGGCCAGAUAUUUGGAACUACACACUCCUGGUAUAUUUGAAUAUUGUGCAAAUAUUUACCCAAGAGUAAUAUAUCAGUAAUUUCUGUUGGUUAUGCUGAAGUGUUUGCUGUAUAGACAUUUUGUUGCUCCAGAAAUCUAGCACUUAAGCUGUGAUAAACUAGUUUUGCAAACCAGAAUAGAGCACUUUGACUGAACUUUCAGUUCUGGAGAGAGCAAUACUCAAAGUAAAGACCAUGAUGUAAAAAUUUAUCUUCAUAUCACUUUACUUUUUCACGAACAAGAACAUAGGGAUGUCUGCUGGUGCAAAGAUGUUCUUUAGGGGCCUUUGGCUGAAGCACCCACACUCACUUUUUUCUAGACACCUGAGGGAAGACUGAAGUGGGGUCACGAUUGAAUUGCUUUGCUUGGACAUGAGUCCAACAUUGUGGAUGAGCAGGCUGAGUUCCUUUUCAUGCUCCUUGCCA